rnacentral:rRNA from 1 species
UNNGAGUUUNGNNNNUGGCUCAGGAUGAACGCUGGCGGUCUGCUUAACACAUGCAAGUCGAACGGAAUCCUUCGGGAUUUAGUGGCGGACGGGUGAGUAACACGUAAGAACCUGCCUCUAGGACGGGGACAACAGUUGGAAACGACUGCUAAACCCGGAUGAGCCGAAAGGUAAAAGAUUAAUCGCCUAGAGAGGGGCUUGCGUCUGAUUAGCUAGUUGGUGAGGUAAGAGCCCACCAAGGCGACGAUCAGUAGCUGGUCUGAGAGGAUGAUCAGCCACACUGGGACUGAGACACGGCCCAGACUCCUACGGGAGGCAGCAGUGGGGAAUUUUCCGCAAUGGGCGAAAGCCUGACGGAGCAAGACCGCGUGGGGGAGGAAGGUUCUUGGAUUGUCAACCCCUUUUCUCAGGGAAGAACACAAUGACGGUACCUGAGGAAAAAGCAUCGGCUAACUCCGUGCCAGCAGCCGCGGUAAUACGGGGGAUGCAAGCGUUAUCCGGAAUGAUUGGGCGUAAAGAGUCCGUAGGUAGUCAUCCAAGUCUGCUGUUAAAGAGCGAGGCUUAACCUCGUAAAGGCAGUGGAAACUGGAAGACUAGAGUGUAGUAGGGGCAGAGGGAAUUCCUGGUGUAGCGGUGAAAUGCGUAGAGAUCAGGAAGAACACCGGUGGCGAAGGCGCUCUGCUGGGCUAUAACUGACACUGAGGGACGAAAGCUAGGGGAGCGAAUGGGAUUAGAUACCCCACUAGUCCUAGCGGCAAACGAUGGAAACUAGGUGUGGCCUGUAUCGACCCGAGCGGGNNCCAAAANAAAA